rnacentral:rRNA from 1 species
ACAUGCAGUCGAGCGGACACAGAUGGGAGCUUGCUCCCUGAUGUUAGCGGCGGACGGGUGAGUAACACGUGGGUAACCUGCCUGUAAGACUGGGAUAACUCCGGGAAACCGGGGCUAAUACCGGAUGGUUGUCUGAACCGCAUGGUUCAGACAUAAAAGGUGGCUUCGGCUACCACUUACAGAUGGACCCGCGGCGCAUUAGCUAGUUGGUGAGGUAACGGCUCACCAAGGCGACGAUGCGUAGCCGACCUGAGAGGGUGAUCGGCCACACUGGGACUGAGACACGGCCCAGACUCCUACGGGAGGCAGCAGUAGGGAAUCUUCCGCAAUGGACGAAAGUCUGACGGAGCAACGCCGCGUGAGUGAUGAAGGUUUUCGGAUCGUAAAGCUCUGUUGUUAGGGAAGAACAAGUGCCGUUCAAAUAGGGCGGCACCUUGACGGUACCUAACCAGAAAGCCACGGCUAACUACGUGCCAGCAGCCGCGGUAAUACGUAGGUGGCAAGCGUUGUCCGGAAUUAUUGGGCGUAAAGGGCUCGCAGGCGGUUUCUUAAGUCUGAUGUGAAAGCCCCCGGCUCAACCGGGGAGGGUCAUUGGAAACUGGGGAACUUGAGUGCAGAAGAGGAGAGUGGAAUUCCACGUGUAGCGGUGAAAUGCGUAGAGAUGUGGAGGAACACCAGUGGCGAAGGCGACUCUCUGGUCUGUAACUGACGCUGAGGAGCGAAAGCGUGGGGAGCGAACAGGAUUAGAUACCCUGGUAGUCCACGCCGUAAACGAUGAGUGCUAAGUGUUAGGGGGUUUCCGCCCCUUAGUGCUGCAGCUAACGCAUUAAGCACUCCGCCUGGGGAGUACGGUCGCAAGACUGAAACUCAAAGGAAUUGACGGGGGCCCGCACAAGCGGUGGAGCAUGUGGUUUAAUUCGAAGCAACGCGAAGAACCUUACCAGGUCUUGACAUCCUCUGACAAUCCUAGAGAUAGGACGUCCCCUUCCGGGGCAGAAUGACAGGUGGUGCAUGGUUGCCKKCAGCUCYGGUCGUGAGAUGUUGGGUUAAGUCCCGCAACGAG